GAGUUUGAUCAUGGCUCAGAUUGAACGCUGGCGGUAGGCUUAACACAUGCAAGUCGUGCGAGAAAGUAUCUUCGGAUAUGAGUAGAGCGGCGAACGGCUGAGUAACACGUUGGUACCUGCCUCAAACUCAGGGAUAACAUCUAGAAAUAGGUGCUAAUACCGGAUAGUCCCGAAAGGGUAAAGCUUUUGCGGUUUGAGAGGGGCCUGCGGCCUAUCAGCUUGUUGGUGAGGUAAGAGCUCACCAAGGCAAUGACGGGUAGCUGGUCUGAGAGGAUGACCAGCCAGAAUGGAACUGAGACACGGUCCAUACUCCUACGGGAGGCAGCAGUAAAGAAUCUUUCGCAAUGGGGGAAACCCUGACGAAGCAAUACCGCGUGGGUGAUGACGGUCGUAAGAUUGUAAAGCCCUUUUCUGAGGGAAGAAUUCUGACGGUACCUCAGGAAUAAGCACCGGCUAACUCCGUGCCAGCAGCCGCGGUAAUACGGAGGGUGCAAGCGUUACCCGGAAUUAUUGGGCGUAAAGCGUCCGCAGGCGGUUUGUUAAGUUAAAUAUUAAAUCUUGAAGCCCAACUUUGAGGCUGUGUUUAAAACUGACAAACUAGAGUCAUUCAGAGGUGCGUGGAAUUCUGUGUGUAGGGGUAAAAUCCGUAGAUACACAGAGGAACACCAAAAGCGAAGGCAGCGCACUGGGAAUGUACUGACGCUCAUGGACGAAAGCGUGGGGAGCGAACGGGAUUAGAUACCCCGGUAGUCACGCCGUAAACGAUGGAUACUCGGUGUCAGGGGACUCGACCCCUCUGGUGCCCAAGCUAACGCAUUAAGUAUCCCGCCUGGGGAGUACGGUCGCAAGAUUAAAACUCAAAGGAAUAGACGGGGACCCACACAAGCGGUGGAGCAUCUGGCUUAAUUCGAUAAUGAGCGAGGAACCUCACCUAGGCUUGACAUCCCGAGAAUUUUCUAGAAAUAGAAAAGUGCCUUCUGGAACUCGGUGACAGGUGCUGCAUGGUUGUCGUCAGCUCGUGCCUUGAGGUGUUCGGUUAAGUCCGUGAACGAGCGCAACCCAUGUCCUGUGUUGUUUUUUCACAGGAGACUGCCGAUUCAAAGUCGGAGGAAGGUAUGGACGACGUCAAAUCAGCAUGGCCCUUAUGCCUAGGGCUGCACAGGUGCUACAAUGGCUAAUACAAUAGGUAGCAAUAUCGCAAGAUGGAGCCAAUCCCAAAAGUUAGUCUAAGUUCGGAUUGAGGGCUGCAAUUCGCCCUCAUGAAGUUGGAAUCGCUAGUAACCGUGAAUCAGCAAUAUCACGGUGAAUAUGUUCCUGGGUCUUGUACUCACCGCCCGUCACACUACGGAAGGUGGAGGCACCCGAAGUACCCUUAGCUUUGAGCGGGGUCCUAAGGUGAAAUCACUGACUGGAGUGAAGUCGUAACAAGGUAACC
rnacentral:rRNA from 1 species